rnacentral:rRNA from 1 species
GAUGAUCCGGUGCUUGCACCGGGGAUUAGUGGCGAACGGGUGAGUAACACGUGAGUAACCUGCCCUUGACUCUGGGAUAAGCCUGGGAAACUGGGUCUAAUACCGGAUAUGACUCCUCAUCGCAUGGUGGGGGGUGGAAAGCUUUUGUGGUUUUGGAUGGACUCGCGGCCUAUCAGCUUGUUGGUGAGGUAAUGGCUCACCAAGGCGACGACGGGUAGCCGGCCUGAGAGGGUGACCGGCCACACUGGGACUGAGACACGGCCCAGACUCCUACGGGAGGCAGCAGUGGGGAAUAUUGCACAAUGGGCGCAAGCCUGAUGCAGCGACGCCGCGUGAGGGAUGACGGCCUUCGGGUUGUAAACCUCUUUCAGUAGGGAAGAAGCGAAAGUGACGGUACCUGCAGAAGAAGCGCCGGCUAACUACGUGCCAGCAGCCGCGGUAAUACGUAGGGCGCAAGCGUUAUCCGGAAUUAUUGGGCGUAAAGAGCUCGUAGGCGGUUUGUCGCGUCUGCCGUGAAAGUCCGGGGCUCAACUCCGGAUCUGCGGUGGGUACGGGCAGGCUAGAGUGAUGUAGGGGAGACUGGAAUUCCUGGUGUAGCGGUGAAAUGCGCAGAUAUCAGGAGGAACACCGAUGGCGAAGGCAGGUCUCUGGGCAUUAACUGACGCUGAGGAGCGAAAGCAUGGGGAGCGAACAGGAUUAGAUACCCUGGUAGUCCAUGCCGUAAACGUUGGGCACUAGGUGUGGGGGACAUUCCACGUUUUCCGCGCCGUAGCUAAC